rnacentral:rRNA from 1 species
ACUGAAUAGAUACCCUGGUAGUCCACGCCUUAAACGAUGUAUGCUUGGUGUUGGGAAGCAAAUUCUCAGUGCCGAAAGGAAAAACCCAUUAAGCAUACCACCUGGGGAGUACGAUCGCAAGGUUGAAACUCAAAGGAAUUGACGGGGGCCCGCACAAGCGGUGGAUCAUGUGGUUUAAUUCGAUGCAACGCGAAGAACCUUACCUGGGCUCGAAAUGUAGGUAGUAGGACCCUGAAAGGGGAACGAUGGGUUAAGUCCCAAGCCUAUAUAGGUGCUGCAUGGCUGUCGUCAGCUCGUGCCGUGAGGUGUUGGGUUAAGUCCCCGCAACGAGCGCAACCCCGUACUUUCAGUUGCCAGCGAGUAAUGUCGGGAACUCUGAAGAACUG